AUAUCCGAUAGAUGGAAGCGCCUGGAAUGGUCUUCCGUCGAAAAGUUCUUGGGAACAUGCUUCCGAGAGCGCCUAAGGAUGAGACUGCGGCCGAUCAGGCUGUUGGUGGGGUAACGGCCCACCAAACCUAUAACCGGUACGGGCCCUGAAAGGGGGAGCCCGGAGAUGGGAACUGAGACAAGGUCCCAGGCCCUACGGGGCGCAGCAGGCGCGAAACCUCCGCAAUGCGCGAAAGCGUGACGGGGUUACCCCGAGUGCCGUCCGUUGAGGAUGGCUUUUCCUUAGUGUAAGGAGCUGGGGGAAUAAAGGGGGGGCAAGUCUGGUGUCAGCCGCCGCGGUAAUACCAGCCCCCUGAGUGAUAGGGACGAUUAUUUAGCCUAAAGCAUCCGUAGCCGGUUUAGCAAGUCUUUCGUUAAAUCUGACGACUUAAUCGCCAGGCCGCGGAAGAUACUGCUAGACUAGAGGGCGGGAGAGGUUGACGGUAGUCCCGGAGUAGGGGUGAAAUCCUAUAAUCCCGGGAGGACCACCAGUGGCGAAGGCGGUCAACUAGAACGCGCCUGACGGUGAUGGACGAAAGCUGGGGGAGCGAACCGGAUUAGACACCCGGGUAGUCCC
rnacentral:rRNA from 1 species